AAGCGAAUAGUGAAAUCUGGGGGCUCAGCCUCACAGACUAUUAUUCGAACUGCUCGUCUCGAGAAUGGUAGAGGUAACUGGAAUUUCUAGUGUAGGAGUGAAAUCCGUAGAUAUUAGAAGGAACACCAAUGGCGUAGGCAGGUUACUGGACCAUUUCUGACACUGAGGCACGAAAGCGUGGGGAGCGAACCGGAUUAGAUACCCGGGUAGUCCACGCCGUAAACUAUGGAUACUA
rnacentral:rRNA from 1 species